rnacentral:rRNA from 1 species
GACGAACGCUGGCGGCGUGCCUAAUACAUGCAAGUUGAGCGAUGAAGAUUGGUGCUUGCACCAAUUUGAAGAGCAGCGAACGGGUGAGUAACGCGUGGGGAAUCUGCCUUUGAGCGGGGGACAACAUUUGGAAACGAAUGCUAAUACCGCAUAACAACUUUAAACAUAAGUUUUAAGUUUGAAAGAUGCAAUUGCAUCACUCAAAGAUGAUCCCGCGUUGUAUUAGCUAGUUGGUGAGGUAAAGGCUCACCAAGGCGAUGAUACAUAGCCGACCUGAGAGGGUGAGCGGCCACAUUGGGACGGAGACAGGGCCCAAACUCAUACGGGAGGCAGCAGUAGGGAAGCUUGGGCAAUGGACGAAAGUCUGACCGAGCAACGCCGCGUGAGUGAAGAAGGUUGUCGGAUCGGAAAACUCGGUUGGUAGAGAAGAACGUUGGUGAGAGUGGAAAGCUCAUCAAGUGACGGUAACUACCCAGAAAGGGACGGCUAACUACGUG